AUAUGGUCACCAAAGGACUGACAAGGCAAGAGGCUAAAACUCCAGAAAGAUAAGGACUAGAAGUGCAUCUAGUCUAUCUCAGGAGUCAGAGUGGGCAAAUCUACUGAAUCCAACAAGCACUGCUUAAGUGCCUGCUGGAAUCAAGACAAAGAAAGAGGCCCAGCUCCCCAUCUGGGGCUUAGAAUGUCACAGGGAGGGUGUUACCUGUAAAGUAACAACGUAAGACCGACUGUGUUUCUGCAAGACUAAAGGGCAGAGACAGCUGAAACUUCGGUGGCCUACAUGGCAGAUUUAAGGACUUACUCAGGGCACAGGUGGAGACGUGGAUUUAAAACUCAGAGCACUGGAUCCUUUGUUCAGAAAGCAAGAGAAAACACCAACACAAUUCCUGCUACAGCUGAGGAUGAGGGCGUGGAGCAGGUCACACAGACAUACUAGCAAGCCUGCAAAGUCAAAACCGUAACAGCCACAGUAACUGACACACGUCAACAACUGACCUGGAGCCAGAUGUUGCCCCAUUUAACCUCCAAGACUCUCCUGUGAGGUGAGAACCAUGAUCAUCCCCAUUAUACAGACACAAGGCCGGCUCAGUUCUGGAGAAACAGCGUGGCUGCCAAGGCCCAGUGGAGGGAGAAGGCCUUGAAAAGUCACUUUAUAAAGCAUCCGUGCUCGCAGCAGCCAAGCCACGAGGCCGGAGCGGCUGACUUUCCAUUCGCCACACACCCCACCCAAAGACGAGAACUCUGCCACAGCCAGCCCUUGUUCUCACCCACUGGGAGCCCUGGGGAGUUGAAAUCACAGGGACAGCAGCAGGGAGCCCUUGGCAGCAAACCCAGCUCCUGGCAUCUUCCUCGGGGGCCGUAGCUUGCUGUGGUCAGCCGAGCCAGUCUGAUGCAAGAACUGAAUGACGCCCAUUCACUGUGGUGCCCUCGUGAGCUGGGAGAUGUCCAGGCUGAGGCUGGGGCAGGCAGGCUCUCUGUCACCUGCAGAGGCUGAGACAACCUCAAGGUAGGACGAGAACCCAGGGUUGAAGCUAGCAGAAGCCAGGCCCUGGGGCCCCUGAUGCAUGAUGAGAGUGAAAAGAAGGGCACAGUGAUGUAAAGAAUUCCUCCAUUUCCCCUCCCUGCCCUCAGUUACUUCCUAUCCAUACAGAGGGGGGAUGAAAACUUUAAGAUUUCACUAUUCAGCUGAGACUGGUGACUCACGCCUGAAAUCCCAGCACUUUGGGAGGCUGAGGUGGGUGGAUCACUUGAGGUCGGGAGUUUGAGACCAGCCUGGCCAACAUGGAGAAACCCCACUUCUACUAAAAAUACAAA
rnacentral:lncRNA from 10 species